AGUUUUCAUCUCUGCCUGCUGGGUGGAGCCCCUGACUCGGCUGAGCCAAGGGUGGGGGGGUUGGUGAACCGACCGGCCCCCUGGGUUUCUUGAACCCUUUCUCAGGCUCCGGGAAGGGGCUGAGGGGCCUGGCACCAUCCCACCAGCGCAGCGGUCCCCAACCCUUUUGACACCGGGGACAGGUUUUGUGGAAGACAAUGUUUCCGUGGGUGCUGGGGAGAAGACGGGAUGGUUUCCUCCUCAGAUCAUCAGGCAUUCGAUUCCCGUAAGGAGGGGACAACCUGGAUCCCGCGCGUGCGCCGUUCCCAUUAGGGUCCGCUCCUGUGAGAAGUUAGUGCUACUGCUGAUCUGACAGGAGGCGGAGCUCAGGCGGUCACGCUCGUCCGCCACUCACCUCCUGCCGUGCGGCCGGUUCCCAGCAAGCCACAGCCUGGGGACCCCUGCUCUGGAGGACGGCGAGUGUCUCUCGGUCAUCCCCAAUGGGCCAGUGAUCCUGCUGGAGGGGCUGGGGCUGCACAGGCCACAGGCUCAGUUGUGCUGCUGGCCAAAGAUGUCCACUGAAGUGGCUCCAGAGUCCCUCAAGGAAGCCGACGUCCACUUCGCUUCCUCCUCCCAGCCCCACCUUCACUUCUGGGACCAUGGAGCUCAUGGGGCCUGCACGCCACGGAGUCCCCGACUGAGGAGCGAGGAGGGCUCUUGUGGGGGCAGAUCUGGAGUCAUACUUGAGGCCAGGCUCGAAUCCUGCCUUCCUUUGGUGGCUCUGAGAUUCAGGGCUGGCUUUUCUGAGAAUACCCAAGUGAGGUGCCUUGGGAUGUCCCUGACUUGGAGACACAGAGGAGGCUGGGCACCCCUUUUCCCCGACUCACUGAGCCAGGGAAGGGGCCACACCCUCUUCAGACCUCUGGCUGCUGCAUGAAACGGGAGCCCUGCCUGGGCUGCCCACCGCGCAUCACAGACGGAUCCCUGCAAAUUUCGCAGGCAUCUGGAUCGAAUAACAGGCUGAUAGGGCGUAUAAAAUCAGAGACAGAACUCUCCAGAAGGCCGGGUGCGGCUCCCUGGGAUUCCACACGAGAAGGCAGGGAUGCUGCUGCCCACACGGGAAGGAUGGAGGCUGAGUCAGAGGGAAGACAGUGGCAAGCCCAGC